UUUCUGCUGAGGACGACCGGUCCGCCCUCUGGGUGAGCAUCUGGCUCGGCCUCGGCAUCUUCUUGGAGAACGUAACUGCACUUGACUGUGUGGUGCGGUACUCAAGACUUUUACUUUGAGGAAAUUAGAGUGUUUCAAGCAGGCGCAUGCCUUGAAUACAUUAGCAUGGAAUAAUGAGAUAGGACCUUGGUUCUAUUUUGUUGGUUUCUAGAGCUGAGGUAAUGAUUAAUAGGGAUAGUUGGGGGCAUUCGUAUUUAACU
rnacentral:rRNA from 1 species